UUUCGAUUUAGAUUCGUAGUAUUGAUUUCAAAGCCAAAUACAAGGACACUUUCAGAAAAUCACAUUGUUCAAAGUACAGAAAGAGAAUACAGGUAGCCAGAGAAAGCCUCGUUAUAAAAGGCGGUAAAAUACUUGAUGUGAUGACAUUGCAUGGAUGAGAUUAGAAGAGAAGGCUUCACUUAGGUUGAAACUAUCAUUGAAAUCACUGAUCUAAGAUGGCUGACGACGUGGACUCGGAUUCUGAUGAUGAAAUUGAGUACUCGGGGAUGAUACAGCCCCCGCUCAUUAAGCAGCUGAAGACCAUUCUCAGUGAAUACCCAGACGAUGGACAAAUACUUAAGGUAUUCUUAUAAGCAUCGAUACAGUUCAAGAAUUCCUAUAAUGUCAAGCUCAUGACUGUUCUAAUUAGAUUAAUACCCCUUAUGCCUUUGUCACAUUUCCCAUCCGGUGGCCAUUGACUGGUGGUAAUCGGUGGUAAAUAAUCUGUGGUGUGAGCAAUGCCCCAACAUCGGUCCACAUUGGCCUAGUAGUCCUUAAAGUAUCAGUCAAAUUAUCCAGCGAUGAGGUAUAUGAUGAGAAACUGAUGCGUUUUUUGAUAAAAAUGGUGUGGUUGAUGGCCGGACUUACAAAAGCCCAGCGAUGGAUUGUUAAUCAUAAAAUGAUGUUCCAG